AGAAUUCGCCCUUAGAGUUUGAUCCUGGCUCAGGAUGAACGCUGGCGGUAUGCCUAACACAUGCAAGUCGAACGGUGUCUUCGGACAUAGUGGCGGACGGGUGAGUAACGCGUGAGAAUCUGGCUUCAGGUCGGGGACAACCACUGGAAACGGUGGCUAAUACCGGAUAUGCCGAGAGGUGAAAGAUUAAUUGCCUGAAGAUGAGCUCGCGUCUGAUUAGCUAGUUGGGAGUGUAAGAGACUACCAAGGCGACGAUCAGUAGCUGGUCUGAGAGGAUGAUCAGCCACACUGGGACUGAGACACGGCCCAGACUCCUACGGGAGGCAGCAGUGGGGAAUUUUCCGCAAUGGGCGAAAGCCUGACGGAGCAAUACCGCGUGAGGGAGGAAGGCUCUUGGGUUGUAAACCUCUUUUCUCAAGGAAGAAAAAAAUGACGGUACUUGAGGAAUAAGCAUCGGCUAACUCCGUGCCAGCAGCCGCGGUAAUACGGAGGAUGCAAGCGUUAUCCGGAAUGAUUGGGCGUAAAGCGUCCGCAGGUGGCUGUGAAAGUCUGCUGUUAAAGAAUGAGGCUCAACCUCAUCAGAGCAGUGGAAACUACACGGCUAGAGUGCGUUCGGGGUAGAGGGAAUUCCUGGUGUAGCGGUGAAAUGCGUAGAUAUCAGGAAGAACACCGGUGGCGAAGCGCUCUACUAGGCCGCAACUGACACUGAGGGACGAAAGCUAGGGGAGCGAAUGGGAUUAGAUACCCCAGUAGUCCUAGCCGUAGACGAUGGAUACUAGGCGUGGCUUGUAUCGACCCGAGCCGUGCCGUAGCUAACGCGUUAAGUAUCCCGCCUGGGGAGUACGCACGCAAGUGUGAAACUCAAAGGAAUUGACGGGGGCCCGCACAAGCGGUGGAGUAUGUGGUUUAAUUCGAUGCAACGCGAAGAACCUUACCAAGACUUGACAUGUCGCGAACUUCGGUGAAAGCUGAAGGUGCCUUCGGGAGCGCGAACACAGGUGGUGCGUGGCUGUCGUCAGCUCGUGUCGUGAGAUGUUGGGUUAAGUCCCGCAACGAGCGCAACCCUCGUUUUUAGUUGCCAGCAUUAAGUUGGGCACUCUAAAGAGACUGCCGGUGACAAACCGGAGGAAGGUGGGGAUGACGUCAAGUCAGCAUGCCCCUUACGUCUUGGGCUACACACGUACUACAAUGCUACGGACAAAGGGCAGCUACACAGCGAUGUGAUGCAAAUCUCAGAAACCGUAGCUCAGUUCAGAUCGCAGGCUGCAACUCGCCUGCGUGAAGGAGGAAUCGCUAGUAAUUGCAGGUCAGCAUACUGCAGUGAAUUCGUUCCCGGGCCUUGUACACACCGCCCGUCACACCAUGGAAGCUGGCAACGCCCGAAGUCAUUACUCCAACUUUUCGGAGAGGAGGAUGCCUAAGGCAGUGCUGGUGACUGGGGUGAAGUCGUAACAAGGUAACCAAGGGCGAAUUC
rnacentral:rRNA from 1 species